rnacentral:lncRNA from 1 species
CCUAGAUGAGAACAACCAUUGAAGUCCAACUUGAGUGUAGAAAAACGCGGCGGAGGAGAGAAAGCCAACGGCCACCACUUCUCAAUAACGAGGAACCUAAUGAAUAUAUCCAAGCCGGGAGAGCCAGAUUCAUCACCCAUGCGCCACCAACUCCAGCCAAAAAUAAAUCAAAAGUUAGAUUUGAAAAUCCUUCAAUUCGCUUGAAGCCAUCCUAAAUGCCAACUCCAUGCUUCCUUGUCUUCCCAACCUCAUCGCUACACUGGAAUGGCUCCUUUUAUAAGGGAAACUAUCUCCGGAUCUUACGAUCGAAAUCGAGUUACCGUUCUAAAAUCUAGACAUGUUGGAAAAGAACCAAAGGAAGAAGAAAUAAAAUUUUGUCAGAGAGAAAAAGAAAAAAGAGAAAAUAUAGCAUUUUUAAUAAGCGUUUAAUAAUUUUUAUUUUUUUUAAUUUAAAUACCAAUUUUUAUUCAUCAUCCCAAAUGGGCAUAAGUAAUGGAUACAAACUGAGACUCGGAUAAAAUCCGUACAACCUAAAACUGCCCCACUACACUUUCGAAUGAUACACAGACGGGUUACUUCGCUAAACUCCGACCCAGCUCUAGGAAGGAUACACAGACAAGCCGCUUAUCAUAACCCCGUAGCCAACAUCGGUGAUCACCGGCUAGUUCCGGUUAAUCGGGGCGGGAGAACAAGUCUCCGCUUCCUCCUCCCCGAAUGACCCAUUACCACCAUGAAGACCAGAGAGAUUACAACGCAAUAUCACGAUCUAAAACUAUCACAACCUAAACAACACAACCUAAACACAAGAAAAAAAACAGACAACAACACAAGCAGACAUAAAACUAAAAAAUGGGAUUGAAAGAGGCUACAACACACAAACCAACUGGAACGAAAUCUGCAACGAAACGGUUAGAAACACAUCCACUAGAGCAUCCAAAUGACUAAGACCCUAACGCUGGGAUGAUGAGCUUCAGCGCAAGCUGUCUUCGAGACCAGUCCACCACAAGAAGGACCGAGAACCCGCCUUGCUCAACCUCUGAGAACCAGAGGACUGCCCGCUUCAAAACCCAUCCGGAAGCUCUCGAAGACAAGCGACAAACUUCCUAAUGAGAGCAAGCAUCGAACGCUCGGAGAGCUGACAUCGCGAAGACACAACCCGAGAGCUAGCUGGGAUGCCGUGACUUGAGGAAUCAAAGAAGAAGCAACGGAACCCGUGAUUGGCCGGAGCCAUAGACGACUCGCCGCCUCCGCCGAGCUACAGACUUGCACGCGCCACCACCAAGAAGAAGCGACCGACACACGAUGACCUAACCUCCUUGCACGCGUCGGUGAAAAACACACCGAAAACUUCUUGGAUGACGGCGAGGUGAGCUUCCGCCGCGAGACACCAAGCGAGCAGAAAACCCACGCGCCACCACCCCACUCCUCCAGAACGGAUCAAAAGAGAUGAUACCAGUGAAGCCCAGAUCCGGGAAGAAAAGACCCCUUGACGAAGACACGCGCCACCGUUCCUUGAAACACGCCGGAGAUCUAAAGGAGAAAACGAAACUCCGAGGAAUCUCAAUCCCUAAAACCCGACCCCCUGAGCUGAACCACCCUUACGCGCCUCACCGGACCUCCAAGCGGCUGACGAACUCCACUAACGGCGAGGCCUCACCGUGAUGAGAAGCCGGCAAAAGAUCAGAACUCCAAGUAUAUCGACCGAAGGAAGAAAGAAACAACAGGAGGCGAAAGCAAAACCAAGGAGGAGGAAGGAAGAGCACGCCUCCGGCGUCGCUUCCGACGUCGGAGCAACCGGAUAAAGGAGAAAGACGAGAGCUUUUAGCGAGAGGUUUUUGAGGAGAGAGGUUUUUGACACGUUUAAUAAAAUUUAUGAUAUACAAAUAAGUACAGCAUAGUAAAAAGGGC